UGGGGGGUAGUUUAAUAAAAACAGUAGCUUUGGGUGUUACAGAUCUGAGUCUUUUCAGCCUUUCAA
rnacentral:tRNA from 1 species